AUCAGCAGCCACUUAUCAGUUUUAAAACAAACUAAAAAAAAACUAAAUGCCUCCGCCUCCCAAAAUGCCGUUUCAACUCAAAAACCCCCACCCAUCUUCUCCGAUUUGAACAGAGCAGCUGAGGGUUUCGACGGCGCACUACAAAGGUAGAUGGCCAGUUGGCGUGGAGGUGCGCGUGGAUCUGGCGCAGCGUGCAUGGGGCUGGUGCGUGCGGAGGAGGAACGGCGCCUAGACUGUUCCAGAAACCUAGGGGUUUCUGGAAUUUUGAUGUAAUUGGGCUAUGGGUUUUGGGCCUAGGUAUUGGGUUAGGCUUAGGUUUUUUAUUUUAGGCUGUUUGGGUAUGGUAUUUCGGCUAAUUUGGGUUGAAAUUUAGGCCUAUUUAUUUGUAAUUGGACCUUUAUUGUAUCUGGACUUUUAAUUGGACAUUUCUAUUAAUUUUUUGAUUCGGCUUUUUAAA